AUUGAACGCUGGCGGCAGGCUUAACACAUGCAAGUCGAGCGGGGUGAUGGUGCUUGCACUAUCACUUAGCGGCGGACGGGUGAGUAAUGCUUAGGAAUCUGCCUAUUAGUGGGGGACAACAUCUCGAAAGGGAUGCUAAUACCGCAUACGUCCUACGGGAGAAAGCAGGGGAUCACUGGUGACCUUGCGCUAAUAGAUGAGCAUAAGUCGGAUUAGCUAGUUGGUGGGGUAAAGGCCUACCAAGGCGACGAUCUGUAGCGGGUCUGAGAGGAUGAUCCGCCACACUGGGACUGAGACACGGCCCAGACUCCUACGGGAGGCAGCAGUGGGGAAUAUUGGACAAUGGGGGGAACCCUGAUCCAGCCAUGCCGCGUGUGUGAAGAAGGCCUUAUGGUUGUAAAGCACUUUAAGCGAGGAGGAGGCUCUUUUGGUUAAUACCCAAGAUGAGUGGACGUUACUCGCAGAAUAAGCACCGGCUAACUCUGUGCCAGCCGCCGCGGUAA
rnacentral:rRNA from 1 species